rnacentral:rRNA from 1 species
UACGGAGGGGGCUAGCGUUGUUCGGAAUUACUGGGCGUAAAGCGCACGUAGGCGGCUUUGUAAGUUAGAGGUGAAAGCCCGGGGCUCAACUCCGGAAUUGCCUUUAAGACUGCAUCGCUAGAAUUGUGGAGAGGUAAGUGGAAUUCCGAGUGUAGAGGUGAAAUUCGUAGAUAUUCGGAAGAACACCAGUGGCGAAGGCGACUAACUGGACAUGUAUUGACGCUGAGGUGGCGAAAGCGUGGGGAGCAAACAGG